CACGCACGCUAACACAUUGCACACUAACACACAUCACACACGAAAACACAUCACACAAGCACACAUCACGCACGCUAACACACAUCACACACUAACACACAUCACACACUAACACACAUCACACGUGCUAAAACACAUCACACAAGCACACAUCACACACACUAACACAUCACACACACGAAAACACAUCACACAAGCACACAUCACACACACUAACACAUCACACACACAAAAACACAUCACACAAGCACACAUCACACACGCUAACACACAUCACACACUAACACACAUCACACACUAACACACACAUCACACGUGCUAAAACACAUCACACAAGCACACAUCACACACGCUAACACACAUCACACACUAACACACACAUCACA
rnacentral:lncRNA from 1 species